rnacentral:rRNA from 1 species
UUAGGAAUCUGCCUAUUAGUGGGGGACAACAUUUCGAAAGGAAUGCUAAUACCGCAUACGUCCUACGGGAGAAAGCAGGGGAUCUUCGGACCUUGCGCUAAUAGAUGAGCCUAAGUCGGAUUAGCUAGUUGGUGGGGUAAAGGCCUACCAAGGCGACGAUCUGUAGCGGGUCUGAGAGGAUGAUCCGCCACACUGGGACUGAGACACGGCCCAGACUCCUACGGGAGGCAGCAGUGGGGAAUAUUGGACAAUGGGCGGAAGCCUGAUCCAGCCAUGCCGCGUGUGUGAAGAAGGCCUUAUGGUUGUAAAGCACUUUAAGCGAGGAGGAGGCUACUUUAGUUAAUACCUAGAGAUAGUGGACGUUACUCGCAGAAUAAGCACCGGCUAACUCUGUGCCAGCAGCCGCGGUAAUACAGAGGGUGCAAGCGUUAAUCGGAUUUACUGGGCGUAAAGCGCGCGUAGGCGGCUAAUUAAGUCAAAUGUGAAAUCCCCGAGCUUAACUUGGGAAUUGCAUUCGAUACUGGUUAGCUAGAGUGUGGGAGAGGAUGGUAGAAUUCCAGGUGUAGCGGUGAAAUGCGUAGAGAUCUGGAGGAAUACCGAUGGCGAAGGCAGCCAUCUGGCCUAACACUGACGCUGAGGUGCGAAAGCAUGGGGAGCAAACAGGAUUAGAUACCCUGGUAGUCCAUGCCGUAAACGAUGUCUACUAGCCGUUGGGGCCUUUGAGGCUUUAGUGGCGCAGCUAACGCGAUAAGUAGACCGCCUGGGGAGUACGGUCGCAAGACUAAAACUCAAAUGAAUUGACGGGGGCCCGCACAAGCGGUGGAGCAUGUGGUUUAAUUCGAUGCAACGCGAAGAACCUUACCUGGCCUUGAC